CCUGGCGGCUGUAGCGCGGUGGUCCCACCUGACCCCAUGCCGAACUCAGAAGUGAAACGCCGUAGCGCCGAUGGUAGUAUGGGGUCUCCCCAUGUGAGAGUAGGGAACUGCCAGGC
rnacentral:rRNA from 1 species